UACGAAGGGGGCUAGCGUUGUUCGGAAUCACUGGGCGUAAAGCGCACGUAGGCGGAUCGUUAAGUCGGGGGUGAAAUCCCAGGGCUCAACCCUGGAACUGCCUUCGAUACUGGCGAUCUUCGAGUCCGGGAGAGGUGAGUGGAACUGCGAGUGUAGAGGUGAAAUUCGUAGAUAUUCGCAAGAACACCAGUGGCGAAGGCGGCUCACUGGCCCGAUACUGACGCUGAGGCACGAAAGCGUGGGGAGCAAACAGG
rnacentral:rRNA from 1 species